UGUUCCAGACUUAAUUGGUUGCACAAAGCCAAGCCAGGACGAGCAGACACGGGUGCAUCGAAUCAGGAGGAACACUUUCAUCCUGAGACCUCGGUUUGGCCUGACAGAUCGAGAACGAGAGGCCGCUGCUGUGUCGAGUCUCUUCAGCUGAACCUGGCACUCCUUCAGAGGACAGGACGCGUUUUCCUGCAGGCUUUGAAGGAUUUCAACCUUUUCCUCAUGUCUUUUUGUGUUUUCCAAGAGCAGCUGUGUUCCAUUUGUUUGGUCUGUCAUCAGCUCACCUGACAGGUGUUCUUCACAGUUUAUCUGCUCUGUGUGAAGCACUGUAAAAGAGUCCUCCACAUCAGAUGUGAAUGACAGCACAUCGUCCAGAACGUCGUGCUGCGUUUGUGUUUUAGUCGUUUCUAUGGAGGGAAGUCUGAGAGCAGAAAGGAUGCAGGCCCCAUCCAGGACACUACCUGGAAAACAAAAAUAAAAAGUCAGCAUCAAAGAGCCAAAAGCUGUUCUUAAUUUAAUUAUGAUUCAUGAAAUACUCAUUAACUAAACUUGUAAACAGGAAAUAAGGAAAUAAUCCAUCCAUCCACCUGUUUCUAUCACUUAGCUAAACUCAGUUCAUUUUUAAAAAGAAACCAGCAUUCAGGCCGGAGACUUUCCCAACAAGAAAUCCAGACACACACA